AAGAUGCAAGACGCUGCCUCCUUCUAAAUGAUAACUUUCAGCAUUUUUAUCAUCAGCCCUACGUGAUGUUUGUUAGAAUCAUUGUAUGGAUGUUCCCAUAGUGCUUACAUUUGCUUUCCAGCGUAGAUCAGACGCUGCUGUGAAGGAGGGAUACCCUCUUUUUCUUCAACCCGUUCUUUGAUCCUAGAAACCUUGUCAUUUGGAUCAAUGUCUAAUUCGAUCUUAUAUUUUGGUUAGAAACAUAGAUGAAUUAUAACUGCAUAUAAAUGUUUUCAACAUUUAAAACACGAACCUCUUUCCCUG